AGAGUGCGAUGAGAGCAGCAGCCGAUCCUCUGAAACAGCUUCUGAAGGGAUGUGUGAAUCCUUCCUGGAGCAUCCUCAUUCCAGUGACUAAUGUGUGAAACCGAGCAGGAAUAGAACGAAAAGUUACUCACUCUGCUCUUGCCCGCGGAUGGAGAGUGAACGUUGAUCCUUACUACACUGCUACAGGAGACUGAGGAUCCUUCAUCUUCACACAGAGCAGGGUCUGCAUCUCUCUCAUCAGCGUGGCCAGCGCUGAUGGCUCUGGAAUAGCAACUCUUCAGCAAUCGUGGGUGUGCAAGAAUCAUAAGAUUACAAACAUAUUUACAGUUUGAUUUGUUUUUUUCUGAUUUUUGAGUUUCUAGGUUGUUUUUCCAAGCUCUUCCCUACAACAUUGCAGAAUCUGGCAUAAAAUCCAGGCGGCUAGCAAGAAACACAGCGGAGAACUCCUGAAUCAAGACGUCUGGUUCUCAGCUGAGUAACACAGGACUUGCUUUUCCGGGGAGAAUCCAUAGAGAUGGAUGUUGGGCAAUGAAAAUGCAGAAGGAAGACCAGGAUGAUGUGAUUGUGUUGGACCAGAAGAUAAGAGUUUUAUAUUCAGUGUUCCAUCUGAAGUGAGUGCUGUCGAUGCACCUAACCUUGUGACAGAGCAAAAACACUGCCAGAAGAAUAUUAUGACCUGGAAAACUGUUUAUUCCCCUUUAAAAACGUGUGACCUGGCAAAGAGGCUCUUAAUGGGAAGACUUGGGAAUUCCUCUGCCCUGUGUGUGGAUGUCAGGAGUCGGCAGCCAAAACGUCACUGUAUCUUGUCACCUCUUGGUCUAGGAACUUGGUCCUGCAAACUGGGAAUUCACCCUCGGAGAGCUUAUGAAAAUGUUGAUAAGUCAAAGAAGAGUGUUCCGGAUGUCUGCAGCAACAGUUCACCACUGGCAGAGCUCAUCUGUUUACAUCCUCUAUAAGGAUCCCGUGGGACACACUUAAUCCUGGUUUUGGAUGUUGGGGUAUGGGCCAGGAUGUUUGUAGUCCAGUCAGUUGUGGGAUUUUAUGCCAAUGAUGUUUUAAGGUAAAAUAAAUAAAGAGACUUUUUCAGCGCA